UACGUAGGGUGCAAGCGUUAAUCGGAAUUACUGGGCGUAAAGCGUGCGCAGGCGGUUCGCUAAGACCGAUGUGAAAUCCCCGGGCUUAACCUGGGAACUGCAUUGGUGACUGGCAGGCUUUGAGUGUGGCAGAGGGGGGUAGAAUUCCACGUGUAGCAGUGAAAUGCGUAGAGAUGUGGAGGAAUACCGAUGGCGAAGGCAGCCCCCUGGGCCAACACUGACGCUCAUGCACGAAAGCGUGGGGAGCAAACAGG
rnacentral:rRNA from 1 species